UAAAUACUUAUAAAGUGCUCACAUCAAGGUGCACAUGUAUGUGUAUAUAAAAGUAUAUAAAAAUAAAUGACAAAUAUAUAAAGAUAUUGUUAAUUAAUAUUAAUAACAUUUUUAUUCUAAAUAAUACAUGACAGAUAAAAUUAAAACUAAUUAAAAAGGCCUUGACAUUAGUGAAUUUUUUUCAUAUAAAAAAAUCAACUGUAUCCGUAAAUAGAGGUGAGCACAGAUCGAAUAUCCGAGUAUUUGGAGGCAUUCAUGUCGAUUCAAUCUUUAGUCACUUGGAUAGUCGGUGACUAUGAUAUCCAAAAUGAUUUAGAAUUUUAAAAAAUAUCC
rnacentral:lncRNA from 1 species